CUUCUACAGGUGUGCUCUUUAUUGAACUCUGGCAACAGACUUUAAAGAAUAUUUGUGGAACAGAGUGGAUGGGGCCAGCGAAAGGGAGGGAGGCCGAGAAAAUGAAGCAGGACGCUGGAAGGUUUCAGAAAAUGUUCAGGAAUUUCGGGAGCAGGUGGCGAGUGGUGACAUGAAAGGAGGAUGUGACAAAUGCAACCGACGGCACUUGAAAAAAAAGGCCUCAAGUUGAAUGGUGGCAUAGUAUCUCCUUUUUUUGCCUUGGUGCAUCAUACCCCCCACUCUUUCCCUCACACACACACAUACAGACACACACACAAGCUCCAAUCUCAGCACUGAGCUGCUCGCUUCCUCGCAUGGUUCAUGAUGUGGAUGAUUAAUGCGCAAUUCCUAUUCACAGCACAGACAAGAAAGGUUCAGCCACUUCAUUCAGAUGAAGGUGAUAGUGGGGGGUGGUUAGGGAGCAUGUGGCCAUGAGGGAAGCUAGUUGAGUUUUGGCUAGGGAUCAUACAAUAUACGUUAAUAUAACAAUUCAAUUCUGAUGUAAUGAUCUCAGCUGACAACAUAAAUAUUCAUGGUCAUGUUUCUGUAACAUCCAACGAAGUCGUAGUCGUAGACUUGGAAUAUGAUCAUUUGUGUUUUGAAAAUGAAUUAUGUUAUUUAUU